AAGCCUAAGGUUUCCUGGGGAAGGUAAAUCCGCCCAGGGUUAGCCGGUUCCUUAGUCGAGGCCGAAAGGCGUAGACGAUGGAUAGCAGGUCAACAUUCCUGCGCCACAUGCCGGACUGAUGGAGGGACGGCGUCUGAAAGGUGAGGGGACGGAUAGAAAUGUCCCUCGCCUGUGUGGAGGGUAGCUGUAGGCAAAUCCGCAGCGAUAUCCUGAAGCAUGGGACAAAGACGUUUAUGUUUCGAUAGUCAUCCGAAAGACGUCCAAGAAAAGCUUCUAGGGUUGAUGGCAUGUGACCGUACUAAAACUGACACAGGUAGGCGGGACGAGAAGUCCUAGGCGCUCGGGAGAACACUGGUUAAGGAACUCUGCAAAAUGGCCCCGUAAGUUCGCGAUAAGGGGUGCCCUCUUUGGUUUACGCUGAGGAGGGUCACAGUAAAUCGGCAUCAGCGACUGUUUAUCAAAAACACAGGACUCUGCUAACUCGCAAGAGGAUGUAUAGAGUCUGACGCCUGCCCGGUGCUGGUAGGUUAAGGAAGAGGGUUAGCCGUAAGGUGAAGCCCGCGACCGAAGCCCCAGUAAACGGCGGCCGUAACUAUGACGGUCCUAAGGUAGCGAAGUUCCUUGUCGGGUAAGUUCCGACCUGCAUGAAAGGCGUAACGACUGAUGCACUGUCUCAACCAGUGACCCGGUGAAAUUGUAGCCGUGGUGAAGAUGCCACGUACCCGCAGUAUGACGGAAAGACCCCGUGAACCUUUACUGUAGGCUGAUAUUGGUCUUGGACGUGUUCUGUGUAGGAUAGGUGGGAGGCUUUGAAGCAGUGACGCUAGUCAUUGUGGAGCCAACGUUGAAAUACCACCCUGGAUUCGUUUGAGUUCUAACGCUGAUUCCCGUGAAUCCGGGCAGCGGACAGUUUCAGUUGGGCAGUUUGACUGGGGCGGUCUCCUCCCAAAGAGUAACGGAGGAGUUCAAAGGUACCCUCAGCCUGGUUGGCAAUCAGGCAUUGAGCGCAAAGGUAGAAGGGUGCUUGACUGCGAGACUCAUAAGUCGAGCAGAUACGAAAGUAGGACUUAGUGAUCCGGUGGUUCUGAAUGGAAGGGCCAUCGCUCAUCAGAUAAAAGGUACUCCGGGGAUAACAGGCUUAUCGCUUCCGAGCGUCCAUAGCGGCGAAGCGGUUUGGCACCUCGAUGUCGGCUCAUCACAUCCUGGGGGUGGAGAAGCUCCCAAGGGUUUGGCUGUUCGCCAAUGAAAGUGGUACGUGAGCUGGGUUCAGACCGUCGUGAGACAGGUCGGUCCCUAUCUGCUGUGGGCGUACGAAACUUGCGAGGAUUCUUCUUUAGUACGAGAGGAUUUGGAAGGACGUUCCUCUGGUGUACCAGUUGUCGCGCUAGCGGCACGGCUGGAUAGCUAAGAACGGAAAGGAUAAACGCUGAAAGCAUAUAAGCGUGAAGCCCGCCUCAAGAUCAGGUUUCGUAGGGUUUAACCCGAAAGUCCCCUGAAAGACGAUCAGGUUAAUAGGCCGGAUGUGUACGUGCAGUAAUGCACUCAGCUAACCGGUACUAACGGACGAUUGCUUGACCAC
rnacentral:rRNA from 1 species